CAACACUGAUCUUGCAAACUCAGAUGCGCUGAAGCUAGCUAAAGAAGUUGAUCCUCAAGGUCUGAGAACCAUUGGAGUUAUCACCAAACUGGACCUUAUGGAUGAAGGAACGGAUGCCAGGGAUGUUCUAGAGAACAAACUGUUGCCUCUUCGCAGGGGUAAUGUACUGUGGUCUAUACAAGACUUUUUUUUUUUUUUUUUUUUUUUUUUUUUGUUAUAUGGAAGAGAAAUGAUUGGGAAGCCACUAGGAGGUUUGGUUUUAAUGCCUUCUCAGUUGUAAGGAAUGGAUUUAUUAUUAGUUAUACUUUUCUGGAAUGGCUGUAUGUUCCCAAAUGAUAUACUAGAAAAUAAUCCAAAGGGAGAACUAUUCCUUAAAAUAACAGGAAUAAGAAAACAGGAAAAGGAAGGAGUUUGAAGGGAGGUUAUAAAUAUUCAUCAUAGGCUACAUAAACUUAUACUAUUGUAAGCCUGGUAUUUACUUGCCUGCUAUAUGACAAAACUGCUAAGAUACACACUCUCUUAAAAUGUACACAGUUUGAGGGUGAGAGGCAUUAUUGUACUGAUGCUAAAAAAUUAUCGUGGGCUCAAUCAGCAGCCUGUAUUCAAUACUGAUGUUUCCCAUUGAGUUUUAUAAAGGAACUCAGUCUUCAGGCCUAAAACUAGUUUUGCCUUUCUUACUCUGCCUAUGUGAGAGCCUUGAAAUCUCCCUAGAAUAAGCCACAAAAAGUGUCCCCAACUCCAUAGAUUUGUGUUUUGUUUCAGGUUACGUGGGGGUGGUAAACAGAAGCCAGAAGGACAUAGAUGGGAAGAAGGACAUAAAGGCAGCCAUGCUGGCAGAGAGGAAGUUUUUCCUUUCCCACCCGGCUUACAGACAUAUCGCUGACCGAAUGGGAACCCCACACCUGCAGAAGGUCCUUAAUCAGGUAAAAAUGUUCUUUCAAGCAACAAGAACAAUUAUGAAAUAUGUAAGUAGGUGCUGGAAUUCAUAUUUAUUAUUUUUAAGUUUAUUUUUUUUUCCAAAACAAGACAUGCAGCUUCAAUGAUAGGGAUUUUAAAAAUGAAUAUUAGUACCUCAGAUUCACACUAUUACCGUUCUCAGUGAAUAGAACUCACCUUCCUAUUAUUGCAAGAACAAUUAUCAAAGCAGAAACACAUACCUAUUUAGGAACAGUGAACAGGGAUAUACAUUUUAGCAUAUACUCACUUGUAAUAUGUAGUUAUCUUGAGAAGUUAAAUUUUUAUAGCUUUGAAAAGUUGAUCUCUUGGGAUCUGUUUUUGAAGCACCAGUCUGUAAUGGCUAGGUUACACUUUCUGUUAAAUUAUUUUUAUGGCUUUGUUUAGAAUUGAUUUGUUUCUUAAUUUAAAAUCUUCAGAAUCACAAAUCCUAAUUAAAUAAUCAUUGAUUUCCACUCAUCUAAGAUGCUUUUCUAGAUAACCCCUUUUCCCACAAUAAUUUAGAAUUGGGCCUUCUGCCUACCCCGCUCCAUGCACUAUGCACACACUUCUUCCGUAAAUCCUCAAUGCUCUUACUUGGUUACAGAUAUUCCUUCCCCUAUUGGAGUUAAGUGUUACGACAAGCAUCAUUGUCAUUGAAUGCAGGGCCUCCUCCCUGAGUUUUGAUUAUAUUGACUUAAUGUGAUCAGCAGCCUUUCUCACAAAUAUUCUUGUAAGUUAUGCUUUAACUGUUACAUACAAACUUAAUCAGGCAAUCAAUCAAUCAAGUAGAUUUCUGAUUCUUAGCUCCUGGAAAGUAUCAAUAGCUGUCACAAUAUGUGACAUUAUACCUGAACCAUUUAGGCAAAA
rnacentral:lncRNA from 10 species